GAGACCCUGAAAGGAAGCACUAAAAAAAUGAAGACAGAGGAAUACCAGGAGAGAAAGGAGGUCCAGUUAGACCUAAAGGUGGGCAAGAAGAAGAAGAAGAGGAGUUUGGAUGCUUAAUCUCUGCUGAGACCCAGUGCCUUGCACUGAAGGUGCUCAGGAAAUACUUUCUGAAUGAUAAGAAGCCCCUGCCAUCUGCUAAACUGGAUCUAUGAUGACAGAAGCCGAGGAAUGUGAGGUUCAUCUAGAGAGUUCUUGUGAAUUUUCCAAGGGAGGCACCUGUUGAACUCAGGCAUCGGCAUGUGAAUUGAUUUGGUCAAUGAAAUGUGAGAGAAGUGACAUCCACUUUGAGACAGGCAGUUUCCGAGUUGCCCUGACAGCCACUCUCCAUACUGCUGCCAGAAGAACCUUGAAAUAUCGCUCUUUUUAAU
rnacentral:lncRNA from 1 species